rnacentral:rRNA from 1 species
CGCAGCCGCGGUAAUUCCAGCUCCAAUGGCGUAUAUUAAAGUUGUUGCAGUUAAAAAGCUCGUAGUUGAAUUUCGGGAUCGACGGGUCGGUCGCGCCUCUGGUGUGUACUGGCCCUGUCGGUUUCUCCCUUCUGACGAACCACGAUGUCAUUAAUUUGGUGUCGUGGGAAAUCAGGACUGUUACUUUGAAAAAAUUAGAGUGUUUAAAGCAGGCAUUCGCUUGAAUACAUUUAGCAUGGAAUAAUGAAAUAGGACGUUUGAUCUUAUUUUGUUGGUUUCUAAGAUCGACGUAAUGAUUAAUAGGGAUAGUUGGGGGCAUUAGUAUUCAAUCGUCAGAGGUGAAAUUCUUGGAUUUAUUGAAGACUAACUACUGCGAAAGCAUUCGCCAAGGAUGUUUUCAUUAAUCAAGAACGAAAGUUAGGGGAUCGAAGACGAUCAGAUACCGUCGUAGUCUUAACCAUAAACUAUGCCGACUAGGGAUCGGAUGAUGUU